CUUUCUCUCUCUUCCUCUUCCACGUAAAAAAACCCUAGCUGCCGCCUGCAAAUUCCCUUCUCACUCGUUCUAAAAAUGAAAAAAUCAUAGUGCAUGUGUGAAGUACAUAGCUUUUGCAGUGAUAUUUAUAUGCAAAGAAUUAAUUCAAUGGCAGUUUUUACUUAUAUCUUUCCAAAAUCGUUUUCGAGUCUGGGUGGCUGAGUGUGAUUUUGGAAGAACAAAAGGCUUUCAAAUUCAAUUUUGACCAAGGCUGCACUUUCAAAAGGUGCACAGGGAGACACACUUGAUCCAUAGCUGCUUAUUCAGAGAUUGCAUAGCAGAGCUCCAUUUCUUUCGGAGCCGUAGCUUUUGGGUACUUAUUCUUUUGUAUAUAUAAUUAUGGGCAUAGCGGGGUCCUGUCCCGCUCAUACGAUAUGUCAUACUCUUAGAGGCUCGUAGUCAUGUGUAUGUGGGUAGAGAUGUUCGGCCAUGUCGGCCCAUGUUUUGUAUAUCUUUUGUUGGCCUCGUCGUCCUUGUACUUAUGAUGUGGCAUAGAUGCCUAUGAUAUGUUAAAUGAUGAUGGUCGUCUA